GAUGAACGCUGGCGGCGUGCCUAAUACAUGCAAGUCGAGCGAACAGACGAGGAGCUUGCUCCUCUGACGUUAGCGGCGGACGGGUGAGUAACACGUGGAUAACCUACCUAUAAUACUGGGAUAACUUCGGGAAACCGGAGCUAAUACCGGAUAAUAUAUUGAACCGCAUGGUUCAAUAGUGAAAGACGGUUUUGCUGUCACUUAUAGAUGGAUCCGCGCCGCAUUAGCUAGUUGGUAAGGUAACGGCUUAUCAAGGCAACGAUGCGUAGCCGACCUUAGAGGGUGAUCGGCCACACUGGAACGGAGACACGGUCCAGGCUCCUGAGGGAGGCCGCAGUAGGGUAUCUUCCGCAAUGGGCGAAAGCAUGACGGAGCAGCGCCGCGUGAGUGAUGAAGGUCUUCGGAUCGUAAAACUCUGUUAUUAGGGAAGAACAAAUGUGUAAGUAAAUAUGCACGUAUUGACGGUACCUAAUCAGAAAGCCACGGCUAACUACGUG
rnacentral:rRNA from 1 species